rnacentral:rRNA from 1 species
AUUGAACGCUGGCGGAAUGCUUUACACAUGCAAGUCGAACGGCAGCACGGGGCAACCUGGUGGCGAGUGGCGAACGGGUGAGUAAUAUAUCGGAACGUGCCCAAUCGUGGGGGAUAACGUAGCGAAAGUUACGCUAAUACCGCAUACGAUCUACGGAUGAAAGCGGGGGAUCGCAAGACCUCGCGCGAAUGGAGCGGCCGAUAUCAGAUUAGGUAGUUGGUGGGGUAAAGGCUCACCAAGCCAACGAUCUGUAGCUGGUCUGAGAGGACGACCAGCCACACUGGAACUGAGACACGGUCCAGACUCCUACGGGAGGCAGCAGUGGGGAAUUUUGGACAAUGGGCGCAAGCCUGAUCCAGCCAUUCCGCGUGCAGGAUGAAGGCCUUCGGGUUGUAAACUGCUUUGUACGGAACGAACGGUACUGCCCUAAUACGGCAGGCUAAUGACGGUACCGUAAGAAUAAGACACCGGCUAACUACGUGCCAGCAGCCGCGGUAACU